GACGAACGCUGGCGGCGUGCCUAAUACAUGCAAGUAGAACGCUGAAGGAGGAGCUUGCUUCUCCGGAUGAGUUGCGAACGGGUGAGUAACGCGUAGGUAACCUGCCUGGUAGCGGGGGAUAACUAUUGGAAACGAUAGCUAAUACCGCAUAACAGUAGAUGUUGCAUGACAUUUGCUUAAAAGGUGCAAUUGCAUCACUACCAGAUGGACCUGCGUUGUAUUAGCUAGUUGGUGAGGUAACGGCUCACCAAGGCGACGAUACAUAGCCGACCUGAGAGGGGGGUCGGCCACACUGGGACUGGGAACCGGCCCAGGCUCCUAAGGGAGGCAGCAGGAGGGAAUCUUCGGCAAUGGACGGAAGGCUGACCGAGCAACGCCGCGUGAGUAAAGAAGGGUUUCGGAUCGUAAAGCUCUGUUGUAAGAGAAGAACGAGUGUGAGAGUGGAAAGUUCACACUGUGACGGUAUCUUACCAGAAAGGGACGGCUAACUACGUG
rnacentral:rRNA from 1 species